CGUACANGUCUCCGUAGGUGAACCUGCGGAGGGAUCAUUACACAAAUAUGAAGGCGGGCUGGAACCUCUCGGGGUUACAGCCUUGCUGAAUUAUUCACCCUUGUCUUUUGCGUACUUCUUGUUUCCUUGGUGGGUUCGCCCACCACUAGGACAAACAUAAACCUUUUGUAAUUGCAAUCAGCGUCAGUAACAAAUUAAUAAUUACAACUUUCAACAACGGAUCUCUUGGUUCUGGCAUCGAUGAAGAACGCAGCGAAAUGCGAUAAGUAGUGUGAAUUGCAGAAUUCAGUGAAUCAUCGAAUCUUUGAACGCACAUUGCGCCCUUUGGUAUUCCAAAGGGCAUGCCUGUUCGAGCGUCAUUUGUACCCUCAAGCUUUGCUUGGUGUUGGGCGUCUUGUCUCUAGCUUUGCUGGAGACUCGCCUUAAAGUAAUUGGCAGCCGGCCUACCGGUUUCGGAGCGCAGCACAAGUCGCACUCUCUAUCAGCAAAGGUCUAGCAUCCAUUAAGCCUUUUUUUCAACUUUUGACCUCGGAUCAGGUAGGGAUACCCGCUGAACU
rnacentral:rRNA from 1 species